UGGUGGAGUGAUUCGUCUGGUUAAUUCCGAUAACGAACGAGACUCUGUCCUGCUAACUAGGUUGUGUUUUCUCAGGUUGGUGUUCUGGUGUUCCUUCUCGGGGCGCCGGCCCAAUCCACUUGUGAACACAACACUCUUCUUAGAGGGACUGGCGGCUGUUAGCCGCACGAGAUAGAGCAAUAACA
rnacentral:rRNA from 1 species